UACGUAGGGUGCGAGCGUUAAUCGGAAUUACUGGGCGUAAAGCGUGCGCAGGCGGUCCUAUAAGACAGAUGUGAAAUCCCCGGGCUUAACCUGGGAACUGCGUUUGUGACUGUAGAACUAGAGUGUGGCAGAGGGGGGUAGAAUUCCACGUGUAGCAGUGAAAUGCGUAGAGAUGUGGAGGAAUACCGAUGGCGAAGGCAGCCCCCUGGGUCAACACUGACGCUCAUGCACGAAAGCGUGGGGAGCAAACAGG
rnacentral:rRNA from 1 species